GAUGUAGAACGUAGCGAAAUGCGAUAAGUAGUGUGAAUUGCAGAAUUCAGUGAAUCAUCGAAUCUUUGAACGCACAUUGCGGCCAUAGGUAUUCCUUUGGCCAUGCCUGUUCGAGCGUCAUUUACACCCUCAAGCCUAGCUUGGUGUUGGGCGCCUGUCCCGCCGUUUUCGCGCGCGGACUCGCCUCAAAGUCAUUGGCGGCGGUCGUGCCGGCCCCCUCGCGCAGCACAUUUGCGCUUCUCGGAGGCCCGGCGGAUCCGCGCUCCAGCAAGACCUUUCACGACUUGACCUCGGAUCAGGUAGGGAUACCCGCUGAACUUAAGCAUAUCAAUAAGCGGAGGA
rnacentral:misc_RNA from 1 species